rnacentral:rRNA from 1 species
GAUGAACGCUGGCGGCGUGCCUAAUACAUGCAAGUCUUGCGCACAGACGAGGAUCUUGCUCCUCGGAAGUUAGCGGCGGACGGGUGAGUAAAACGUGGAUAACCUACCGAUAAGACUGACAUAACUUCGGGAAACCGGAGCUAAUACCGGGUAAUAUAUUCAACCGCAUGGUUCAAUAAUGAAAGACGGUUUUGCUGUCACUUGUAGAUGGAUCCGGUCCUCAUUAGGUAGUUGGUAAGGUAACGGCUGACAAGGGGAACGAUGCGUAGCCGACAAGAGAGUGUGAGCGGCCACGCCGGAACUGAGGCACGGUCAAGAGUCCUACGGGAUGCAGCAGUAGCUAAUCUGCCAGGCUGGGCGAAAGAAUGACGGAGCAACGCCGCGUCAGUGAUGCAGGUCUUCUGAUCGUAAGACUCUGUUAUUAGGGAAGAACAAUUGUGUAAGUAACUAUGCACGAAUUGACGGUACCUACUCAGAAAGCCACGGCUAACUACGUG